rnacentral:rRNA from 1 species
CCUACGGGUGGCAGCAGUGGGGAAUAUUGCACAAUGGGGGGAACCCUGAUGCAGCAACGCCGCGUGGGUGAAGAAGUACUUCGGUAUGUAAAGCCCUAUCAGCAGGGAAGAAAAUGACGGUACCUGACCAAGAAGCCCCGGCUAACUACGUGCCAGCAGCCGCGGUAAUACGUAGGGGGCAAGCGUUAUCCGGAUUUACUGGGUGUAAAGGGAGCGUAGACGGCAAGGCAAGUCUGGAGUGAAAGCCCGGGGCUCAACCACGGGACUGCUUUGGAAACUGUGUUGCUGGAGUGCAGGAGGGGUAAGUGGAAUUCCUAGUGUAGCGGUGAAAUGCGUAGAUAUUAGGAGGAACACCAGUGGCGAAGGCGGCUUACUGGACUGUAACUGACGUUGAGGCUCGAAGGCGUGGGGAGCAAACAGGAUUAGAUACCCCUGUAGUC